ensembl:ncRNA lncRNA:CR43196 long non-coding RNA:CR43196
AUUGCCUCUUUAAUUGCAAAUGGUGCGACCCACUUUUUGGCCAAGUCUCGGGUCACCACCAUCUCAAUCGCCGCACACUGACCGAAAAAAGGUGGCAAAGGGGAGACCCCAAAGCAACGCCCGCGUAACACUUUCGAUUUUUAUUUCCUCAUUACAUGCUUGCCAAAAAAAAAAAAGAAAAGACAAAUUAAAAAUAAAACUCAACCACAUGCACAAGAUCACAGCAAACCAGAAAAACGUACAAAAAGCUGAAAUAAAAUGAAGGGCCGUUUUGCAAUUGCCACGCAUUUAGUUGAUUAACCAAAUGCGUCAUAAGGCCCGGAACGCCCCGCUCUCGGAUUCUCUGGAUAAAAUCUAUGCCGCGAAAGCAAUCGACCUCUGGAGCCCCUCACAUCGCAGUUGCCAGACAUUAGCGCUCACGUGGCCAAUAAAAAACAAAAUAACCUGUCGAACUCUUGGCCAAAAGCACUCGAACUGUCGAUGGGGCGAUCAGUCGGUCAAGUGUUUCGGCAAAAGAGCUCGUUGAUUUGCCGAUUUUGCACU